GGGUAACAACCACCACAACUACAACAACAAUUACGGCAACGACAGGAAUAACAAAACAGCUUUCUUAACAACGAGCACCAACAACAGGUAUCCCUACCCCUACAACAGGGUGUGAUUUCAGGUCAGUGAGCAACAAUUCCAUUUAAAAGAACGCAAAUCUUGGUGGCCAACGACCUUAGUUAACGCGUCUGCCCCUUGCGGGUCGGUCGCAUAUUUUUGCGAAUUAUUUAAUUUGUGGUUAAAAGCUAAUUUACUAGGAAUUUUGGUACAAAAUCUUUGCAUUCAAUAUUUACACAAAAAUAAGGGUUCGGUGAAAUAGAAUAGAUCAACCAAUGCAUUAUUAAAACUUAUUCUUAAAUUGUGGAUUAAAACUUAUUAAGUUGUCGAUGAAAAUCCACCCAUUUAAUCAGAGUCUCUUUACAUCAAAGCGGGGUUAUUUGUGCAAAGGAAAACACGAGUUCCAGGACGCUUUCGGUUUCCAACAGUAUAUCUCUGUGAAAUAUGUUAGUUACGCAUUCCCUUUGCCUGCAUGUUUCGCUCGGAUAAUAAACCGAAAUAUGGUAAUGCAAUAUGAUAAAAAGAACUAAAGGCUAAAACGCAUCUUAAAGUUAAAAAUACAAAAUUUGGUUAGGAUAAGAAUUACCAAAUACAUAGAAAAGGCACCCUGAUUCCACAAUAUCUCAAGAGCAAACGUCCUACACUCGACAGCCAAACAAUUCAUAGGGAAUUUGCAACAAUAGCCUUUUGAAAAGGAAGGAAGGCGAUUUCCAUAAUAUUUCGUACUGAAUAGUUUUGGAAAAUAUACCGACAAACGUCGACGUUGAACAUUUCGAACCUACGGGUACCAUCAUUUUGAAAAGCGAGAGAAAAAUUUCUAGAAUGGAUGUGUAAAGUGAAUGAAGAAACAAAGAGAUAAAAAAGGAACUCAAAUAGAAAAGAAAAAAAUUCAAAUUAACGAAUUUGAAAAACACACAAUUGCAUUGUAGAAGAUCUUAUUACACCCUCGACAUUCUUCUAUAACGAGUAUCGGCAUUUUAUAUUUCCUUCUGAGCAUCAGAUAAGCUUUGUCAUAACUUUAACGCGAAGAAAAAUCUGGUUCGGAACUACCCCUUGCAAGUUAGGGACAAAUGCACUUAAAGUAAAGCAGUUGUCUGGUAGUGUAUGAGAAACGUACACGAAAGUAAAUUUUACACCGAGAAUCGCAAAAGAAAACUGAAUAUCCAAACUAAACAUCUUAUUUAAAUUCAAGAUUUUUUUUCCCUUCUUAUAUAUCGUAUAUUUAAAAGGAAAAAAUCAACUUACGUUGAGAAAUAAAAGCAAAACAGCGUGAGUAGAGUUGGGCUAACCAUAACCGUCACGUUGUCUCUUAUACCCGCUAUCAGAUCGAUAGUGCUUCAAAAGAGGGAGAAAGAAGAACACGCAUAAGGAAAGCAUUACCAAUACCUAUUAAACAACCACACAAAAGGUUUGAAGCCCAACACUAUUCCGACUAUCGCGAUCGCCAGUUCCAGCAUCUCGCCGAAUACCAAAAUGGCACCGGGAUUCUUCCACAAUAUCUCGGCACCAGCCAACAACACCAACGAGAUCAUCCAGCUCGCCACCCCGAUUGACGGACCAUACCGAGUUUUCCCAGUAGCGUUCGACACGAGACCUGUCAUCGAAGUAGUCAGCAGAUGGGGGCUCAACUUUACCGGCCACAGAAAGCCGCUUGCCUUCAUCGAGCGGGUCGAGGAGCUUGCAGAAGCAUACGGCCUUAACUUGGUAUCGCAACAACAAUCAAUACUGGACAGCCUGGGAGAAGUUUAAGGCCGAUUUUUUAAAGCUCUUCCUGACACCACGAUACUUCACUCAACUUGAAGAUUACAUUUGCCGGCGUACGCAGUGACCGAAAUAGAAAUUCCACGAUUACGUGCUGGCUUUGCAAGACCUGAUGCGCCAUACCACAAUGACGGUGGAGGAACAACUGGAGCUCAUUUGUACGAAUGCGCAACCCGACCACAUGUG